rnacentral:rRNA from 1 species
GUCCUAUUGAUUUUAUUUUAGGUCAGGCCUGCCCAGUGAGUUUUUAAACGGCCGCGGUAUAUUGACCGUGCAAAGGUAGCAUAAUCAUUAGUCUUUUAAUAGAAGGCUGGAAUGAAUGGUUUAACGAAAAAUUAACUGUCUCAUUUAUAUAUUUGAAUUUAUCUUUUAAGUUAAAAGACUUAAAUAAUAUUGAAGGACGAGAAGACCCUAUAGAGCUUUACAAUUUUUUUUAUUUUUUUAUUAAGUUUUAUAAAUUUGAAUUUAUUAAAAAUAUUGUUUUGUUGGGGUGAUAGUAAAUACAAAAUUAACUUUUAUAUAUUAUUAACAUUUAUUUAUGAUUUUUAGAUCCAAAAAUUUUGAUCAUUAGAAUAAGUUACCUUAGGGAUAACAGCGUAAUCUUCUCUUGGAGUUCUUAUUUGCGAGAAGGGUUGCGACCUCGAUGUUGGAUUAAGAUAAAAAUUAGGUGUAGUAGCUUAAUUAUUAGGUCUGUUCGACCUUUAAAUUCUUACAUGAUCUGAGUUCAGACCGG